GAUUUUCGCAAUGCCCGAAAGGGUCUGACCUAUCCCUGGAGGAAGCACGGGCUAAGUUCGUGCCAGCAGCCGCGGUAAGACGAACCGUGCGAACGUUGUUCGGAAUCACUGGGCUUAAAGGGCGCGUAGGCGGGCCGCAAAGUCAGGGGUGAAAUUCUCCAGCUCAACUGGAGAACUGCCUUUGAUACUGGCGGCCUGGAGUAAGGUAGGGGCAUGCGGAACUGAUGGUGGAGCGGUGAAAUGUGUUGAUAUCAUCAGGAACUCCGGUGGCGAAAGCGGCGUGCUGGACCUUUACUGACGCUGAGGCGCGAAAGCCAGGGGAGCAAACGGGAUUAGAUACCCCGGUAGUCCAGGCCCUAAACGAUGGGCACUAAGUAGAGGGGUUUU
rnacentral:rRNA from 1 species